CCUACGGGAGGCAGCAGUGAGGAAUAUUGGUCAAUGGGCGAGAGCCUGAUCCAGCCAAGUCGCGUGAGGGAGUACUGCCCUAUGGGUUGUAAACCUCUUUUGUCGGGGAGCAAAAGCCGGACGUUUCCGGCUGUGAGAGUACCCGAAGAAAAAGCAUCGGCUAACUACGGGCCAGCAGCCGCGGUAAUACGGGGGAUGCGAGCGGUAUCCGGAUUUAUUGGGUUAAAAGGGGGCGCAGGCGGAUUUUUAAGUCAGCGGUAAAAUCGUGGGGCUCAACCCCAUCCAGCCGUUGAAACUGGGGAUCUAGAGUGUGCGAGAGGUAUGCGGAAUGCGUGGUGUAGCGGUGAAAUGCAUAGAUAUCACGCAGAACCCCGAUUGCGAAGGCAGCAUACCGGUGCAUAACUGACGCUCAGGCACGAAAGCGUGGGUAUCGAACAGGAUUAGAUACCCCUGUAGUC
rnacentral:rRNA from 1 species